GGAAUAUGUAAGUGACAGUUAAAAACAAGAUCCCUCUAUUGAUUUGCCAUGUCUACUCAUGUAAAAACCAAAUUUGUACACCUCUAUUUUUUUUACCAUAAAGGGUCCCCAAAAAAAAGAAAAAAAACAUAAAACAAAGCCAAAAAUAAAAAAACUGACUCCUCUUCUAAACAAGGGCCGAUGGAUCAAGCUGAGCCGCCAAAACUGGACCUUCUUACAUUAGUCACAUUUUCUUUUUUGUUUAUUUUUAGUGACGAGCCGGACAGUCUAAUCCCAGCUCUAUCUUACACGAUUCAUCGUCAGACGACCCAUAGCCAUAAGCCUCGAGUUUCCUUUUCUUCACGGGCACCACGUGACUUGCACGCGACAAGGGCUCAAGCCCCAGGGUCAACUCCAAUCCAAGUCCGGCCAUUUCCGUACUAGCGUGAUCCUGGACUCCUUCAUUGCUCUUCGCGGCUGACUCCGGCUCAGCUCGGAAAAGCAGCGAAGCCUCAGCCGUUUCUACGGAGACCAUGCUCUCCGACUCUUUGCUAUCGCCGUCCACCAUUGCUAACUCCGACUGGUGACUCACCGUCGACUCGUGACUCGUCGACCGAGUCAGAUCAUCUCGUGCCGGCUCGACCGCCGAGCCGAACCCAGCUCCACCACUUUGCUUGUUAUUGCUAACUUUAGGCUUCACAGCUCUCCUAACCCUGCAACGAGCCUUGACUCGGUUGGGAUCGUUUGAAGCAGCAGAGUUUUCAUCCUUGGACACGUGACGGAUAUCGUAAGCCUUCAACGGAGGUCCAUGACCAUUGGCUGCUGCUUCAGAAUUGAUCGGAGUGAUCGGCGUUCCUUUAAGCACGGCUUCGACGGCGGCCUGGCAGAGCUGCCAACUCCCGGACCACAACAACCCAACAGACCCAUAAAUCGGGUUCACUAUCCUUCCACAAGCCUCAUAAAGCAAAGACCUGAAAAUCGCAGGACGAAGGUGUUCAGGGCCAGCGUUGAUGAGGUUCAUAAGGCCAGCACGGCCAUAAAACUUGGCAAGAAAGACAGUGGCGUUGGCUUGGGACUCAGGGCUCUUGAUCCACUGCAAGCAAGGUCUAAUACUGCAAUUCUCACUGCAGCCCUUGCGCAGAACUCGACAUCCAUUACAACUCAUCCGCAUUUUGGAAGGAAAAAAUUGAGGAAAUGGGAAAUUGAGAGGUUGAGAGAUUGUGGGAUUGGAGGAAGAAAGAAAAGAGAGAAGUGGGUAUUUAAGAGGAAGGGAAGAGAGAUUUGUAUAGGAGCCGCUGGGUUUAGAGGUUCUGGGUACGCAUCUUGUUU
rnacentral:misc_RNA from 1 species